CAGCAGCCACGGUAAUACGGAGGGGGCUAGCGUUGUUCGGAAUUACUGGGCGUAAAGCGCACGUAGGCGGCUUGGUAAGUUAGAGGUGAAAGCCCGGAGCUCAACUCCGGAAUUGCCUUUAAGACUGCCGAGCUAGCAGGUGAGAGAGGUAAGUGGAAUUCCGAGUGUAGAGGUGAAAUUCGUAGAUAUUCGGAAGAACACCAGUGGCGAAGGCGGCUUACUGGCUCAUACUGGACGCUGAGGUGCGAAAGCGUGGGGAGCAAACAGGAUUAGAUACCCGCGUAGUCCCUGUCUCUUAUAC
rnacentral:rRNA from 1 species